UACGGAGGGUGCAAGCGUUGUCCGGAAUCACUGGGCGUAAAGAGCUCGUAGGCGGUUUGUCGCGUCGAAUGUGAAAACCCGGGGCUCAACCCCGGGCCUGCAUUCGAUACGGGCAGACUAGAGUUCGGUAGGGGAGUCUGGAAUUCCUGGUGUAGCGGUGAAAUGCGCAGAUAUCAGGAGGAACACCGAUGGCGAAGGCAGGUCUCUGGGCCACUACUGACGCUGAGAAGCGAAAGCAUGGGGAGCAAACAGG
rnacentral:rRNA from 1 species